rnacentral:ribozyme from 1 species
GGUCAGGUGAUGUCGGUGCGUGUGUGCGUGGACGCUGCGACGCAGAAGUCGCUCGGCUACGGGUACGUGAACUUCCAGAACCCCGCUGACGCCGAGAAGGCACUGGACGAGCUGAACUUCUCGAAGCUGCUGUCGAAGUACAUCCGCGUGGCGAAGAUCCAG